rnacentral:rRNA from 1 species
UACGGGGGGGGCAAGCGUUGUUCGGAAUUACUGGGCGUAAAGGGCUCGUAGGCGGCCAACUAAGUCGGACGUGAAAUCCCUCGGCUUAACCGGGGAACUGCGUCCGAUACUGGAUGGCUCGAGUGUGGGAGAGGGAUGCGGAAUUCCAGGUGUAGCGGUGAAAUGCGUAGAUAUCUGGAGGAACACCGGUGGCGAAGGCGGCAUCCUGGACCGGCAUUGACGCUGAGGCGCGAAAGCCAGGGGAGCAAACGGG